GUGCAUUCUGGGGUCAUUUUGGUGUUGGUAGCUUGCUUGGCAAUUGAGCUUGGUGGGUUGCUACUGGUUGGGUGUCUUCGGGGAUGUCUACCGUAAAGGUGCAUGAGUGGUGUUUGGUUUGUUACGGGUGGUUGGCUCUUUGCUUGCGCAACAACUUCUACCUGGCAUACCUCUUCAGUCUUGUGUCAAUGCUUGUAUUGCAUUGAAUGCACGGUGGGUUUCUUGUGUUGCAUGCCUAAUUUAAUGGUAUUGCUUGAUGUAUUGGUUUUCCUUUCGUUUUGCAUUGCCUAUGCGAUGUGAGAUGAACCUUGAAGCAGCCUUUGUGAUCCACUGAUUUGAUGUAUAUGCAUUGAUUUUGUGGCCCAUUGAGUGUUGCUCGGUCUCAUGGAUAUGGAACCUGGUGUGGGCAUGGAAUCUUAAUGGUUCCUUGUUUGCCCAAGUUUAGCUUUUCUAAAACGAUUGUAUAUCAUGUGUUAACAUGCUAGACUACUU
rnacentral:misc_RNA from 1 species